CACUCCUACGGGAGGCAGCAGUGGGGAAUUUUGGACAAUGGGCGAAAGCCUGAUCCAGCAAUGCCGCGUGAGUGAAGAAGGCCUUCGGGUUGUAAAGCUCUUUUGUCAGGGAAGAAACGGUGAAAGCUAAUAUCUUUUGCUAAUGACGGUACCUGAAGAAUAAGCACCGGCUAACUACGUGCCAGCAGCCGCGGUAAUACGUAGGGUGCAAGCGUUAAUCGGAAUUACUGGGCGUAAAGCGUGCGCAGGCGGUUUUGUAAGUCUGAUGUGAAAUCCCCGGGCUCAACCUGGGAAUUGCAUUGGAGACUGCAAGGCUAGAAUCUGGCAGAGGGGGGUAGAAUUCCACGUGUAGCAGUGAAAUGCGUAGAUAUGUGGAGGAACACCGAUGGCGAAGGCAGCCCCCUGGGUCAAGAUUGACGCUCAUGCACGAAAGCGUGGGGAGCAAACAGGAUUAGAAACCCUGGUAGUCCC
rnacentral:rRNA from 1 species